rnacentral:rRNA from 1 species
CCUACGGGAGGCAGCAGUAGGGAAUCUUCCACAAUGGGCGAAAGCCUGAUGGAGCAACGCCGCGUGAGUGAUGAAGGCCUUCGGGUUGUAAAACUCUGUCAUUCGGGACGAACCGGAGUCUGAGGAAAUGCAGACUCUCUGACGGUACCGGAGGAGGAAGCCCCGGCUAACUACGUGCCAGCAGCCGCGGUAAUACGUAGGGGGCAAGCGUUGUCCGGAUUCACUGGGCGUAAAGCGCGCGCAGGCGGUGAUGUAAGUCUGAGGUGAAAACCCGAAGCUCAACUUCGGGACUGCCUUGGAUACUGCGUCACUUGAGGAUAGGAGAGGCAAGGGGAAUUCCACGUGUAGCGGUGAAAUGCGUAGAGAUGUGGAGGAACACCUGUGGCGAAGGCGCCUUGCUGGCCUAUUUCUGACGCUGAGGCGCGAAAGCGUGGGGAGCAAACAGGAUUAGAUACCCUGGUAGUCCACGCUGUAAACGAUGAGUGCUAGGUGUAGGUGGGCUCAUACCCAUCUGUGCCGAAGCUAACGCAUUAAGCACUCCGCCUUGGGGAGUUACGGUUCGCAAGACUUGAAACUUAAGGAAUUGACGGCUUGAGACGNGACGAGCACGACGGAGGAGAGG